rnacentral:lncRNA from 1 species
AUUUUCCUGAUUGAUUGACUGAGAAUGGUAUUCUGCCCUAUUGGUCUUCAGGAUUAUGGUCGAAGCAGAGUAGAUGAAGACCCAACAGCCAUUUUCCUGAUUGAUUGACUGAGAAGGGUAUUCCGCCCUAUUGGUCUUUGGGAUUAUGGUCGCAGCAGACGAAGGCUCACCACAGUGACAGAAAGUUUCACCGAAGUAGAUCCAGAAAUCACACUCCCGAGAGUCCAUUAAGGGCACACCGCUCUGUGGGCACUUGUCUUCGGGGAAAUCCAUCUAAGGUUGCAGCUCCAGAUGGAAAGCAGCUGAGGAGUCCGACAAAGCCGUUGCAGUUCUUCAGCAGAAGCAGAGUUCGUGGAUAUUGCAUGCAGAUGGAUAUUCUAUUUCGGACAUCAGUAUAGCAGGCUAUCAAGGAGUCGAUCACAAUAACAAUUCCACCGCCGGUGCAUUAUCGAAGCUGGCCACUACAGAUGCUUAUAACUUUGACGACAGAUGGCGUCAUUUCUUCGGAUCAGAUGCUGGCAAAGAAGACCAAGUACAAGAGUGUCCAUUUUGUUCUCAUUGAUGAGAAUCUUUAUCGAAGGACCUUUUUCGUCAUCAUUACUUAAACAUUUGGUUCCAUCCGAAGCAGGGUGUGUUCUUCGGGAAGUUCACAAAGAUAUUCGUGACAAUUAUUUGGCCCGAAGUUAUUGACCUACAAAGCACUUCGGCAGCGAUAUUCUUGAAAGAACUGGGGAUUCAGCACAGAAAGACUUCGGGUAUUCUACUUUGGACCCAUCUCCCACUAUUGAGGAAUUUCGGGCGCCGUCCGAAGCUGCAAAUGUUGUUUGGAGGGUUCAUGUGGAUAUUUGUCAGCCAAAUGGUUCGAUCCCACAUCAGCCACCAAAAGGCUAUAUUUCGAUUUUAUCUCCUAUACCUCUUGCUGUCUGGGGGGUAGUCGUACUGGGUCCAUUGCCUAGGGAUCAGGUUAACAAACGCCAGCUCAUGGGAUCGAAGUUUAAAACAUUCAUAAAGAACUUCCGUAGCUCAUCCAUAUUCUGACAGGCACAACAAAUGCCACCUCGGAGUUAGGAGGUUCGGGAGGACUCGCUGACCAUUCGAUGGUAGCCUCUUCGGCAGGAGGUCACUUUGGCAGUGUCAGGCCCUUCGGGUUAGGCAAUUGUCGUCACUUAGACUUCGUCAGGCCCUUCGUGGUAGGCGAAUGUCAUCUUUUGGUUUUGAUAGGAGGUUCGGGAGGACUCGCUGACCAUUCGAUGGUAGCCUCUUCGGCAGGUGGUCACUUUGGCAUUGUCAAGCCCUUCGGGGUAGGCAAUUGUCGUCACUUAGACUUCGUCAGGCCCUUCGUGGUAGGCGAAUGUCAUCUUUUGGUUUUGAUAGGAGGUUCGGGAGGACUCGCUGGCCAUUCGAUGGCAG